AAAACGAUACCAAUAAAUCGCAGCUUCUGACAAAAAUUAAAAAAAUAAGACAGUGUACAGGAGCAAAAGUUACUGACAUAAUAUUAACAGCUUUUGCUGCUGGGAUAAUUAAAUAUUAUUUACGCAUGAAGGAAGUAAUACCCAACGCAAUAUCGGUUCUCAUACCAAGAAGACUUUCUAUGUAUAAUGACAACCUAGUACUGACCAAUGAUAUUUCGAUUAAUAUAGUUAAAAGUUGUUUAGUCAACGCGAAUAAAAAUGAUGUUUUAACGUCACCUACAAACUUUCGGUUCUUUGAACGUCUUCAGAGAACUACAAUAAUAAAUAACAAAAUUAGAAGUAGUUUAGAAGCAUCGUUAAAUUUUUUCCUUUUGGAACAUUUACUGGGAAUUUUGCCGGGGGAAAUUCUAAAACUUCUUAUUGCAACUCACAAUCCCACAAUGGCAUUUAGCAAUAUAAAAGGAAUACAAAGAAAACUUUCUAUUCAGAAUCAUCCUUUAAGCAACAUGUUGUUUUGGAUACCGAACAAAAAUACAACCGGGUUGUCUUUAAGUGUAAUUACUUACGAAGGCAAAUUAAAUCUGUCUCUAUUGGUUGAUAAAGCAGUAAUAAGAGAUAUGAAAGUAAUCAGAGAAAUACUAGACGAAACUAUAUAUGAAAUAGACUCUGCGUAUAAUGAUCUCGCAAGUUUCGAAAUCAUCGGAUCGUUCAGUGAAAACACUUGUGGAAAAAAAUAGAAAUGUUGGAAACAUCAGGAAAACAAGUUGCUGCGCCGCAGGAUCAUUUUAAAAAACAACGCUGUUAAUAAUCAAGGAAUAAAAAUUCUUUUUUAUUGACUAGUUUCGUGAAAUGCACAUGUCAGUUAUGUCCUACACACGCUCAAAUGCAGAAUAAAAACGAAAUAUAUUUUAAAGAAAUAAUUCGUCAACGAAACUAUUUUAAUGCUCAAUUGUGGCAACCGUCUGAGGAUAUACGAGACAUAAAAACUGCUGGUCUAAAUCAAGCUCCUAGUAACGGCAUUCAAAGACAAGAAUCAGUUUUCUGUUCUUUUACGCUUCCGUUAGAAACGGAACAACAAUUAGAAGAGGUUGUGCAAUUUUUAAGAAUUCAGGCUAAUUUUAAGAUAUUGAUAAUAUUUUGUAUUAAAUACUAUAACCUUAUAUAUUAAGUAUUAUAACCUUAAGGUACAAAUAUUUUAUUUAUUUCGGUGUACUUAAUGCAAUUAUAUAAGGAAAGGUUGCCAAUAUUGGCUCCUCGAUUAAAUCAGUGUCUGUAACGCAAGUCUUUAUAGGUAUAUAAGUAUACACAAAAACAUAUUUAUGUGUAAAUAUACAUGCGUCAUGCAUAAAUAUUGUAUAUGUCUUUAUGUAAUAUGGCGUGGCAGAACGACUACAGAUGCAUUCGCUCACCUUCGUCACAACCGAAAUCCUCUCCCCGCUGUCCUGAGCCUUUCGCCGUCACCUGAGUAUAUAAGGUGGCAAAAAUCGCGAGACGAGAGAACUAGUUUAAACUAUUGCAAAAAAAACUCUUCAGUCAGGAGUCGAACCUGGUAUCUCCGGUUUUACGGGCCAUCGCCUUUCCUGUUAGGCCAAAUAACAAAAGAGAAUUUUGUCUUGAUCGGAUCAAGUCGAUUUGUCAGGGCGAGUCUCUACGGUCAACCGGCGAAAAAGCACGCGGUCCUUGAUGUUACAAAGAACGCGAGAAAUCCGCUCAACUUGACCACUGGUAAAUAAUUUGUUCUGGAGGAUCGCACCUGAUUGAUUAACUUAGAUAAUAACGCGUGUGUAAUUAGUCUCGGCGGCUUUCUACCUUAUCGAACUCUGCGGGCUAUCGGAUUUCGUGAUAGUUAUUGCGCUAAGAUUUUCGUAUUUAUCCUGCGAGGAUCCAUACACGAACGCAGAUGCUAUCUACUUUAUUAUAUUUCGCUAGACAAGGGUCGUCGAAAACAUUCUCUCGGAAUAAGUGUUAUCGGACUGUUCGGGUUACAAAAACUCAGGUUUUUUUAUCGGACGCAAAUAUCGGCGGCAAUCUUAUACAAUUGUACCGCAAAUAACCAAAAAGUUGAGAUAUCUUUUGUGACAUAGCGUUUAACGCGUGCGGCCGCUUUACUAUUAUUGUAAGCGGCUGAUCUGACGUGUGCUGCUUGAGCAGGUUGUUGAUUAGGCGUGUCGAGAAUUCUAGCGAGCCUAGAGUUACAAGCACACGAAGGGCGGUUCUCGCUUGUUUGCGCGUCCCCACCGCUUCGAUCUCUCGUUGCUCUCUGCUCGAUCUUGUAACUCUGAGCGAGCCUCUGAAGCCUCUUGCACAAUGGACGGAAUAGCGAUAGCGAUAGAAAUAAUACCAGUU